rnacentral:rRNA from 1 species
AACGAACGCUGGCGGCAGGCUUAACACAUGCAAGUCGAGCGCCCCGCAAGGGGAGCGGCAGACGGGUGAGUAACGCGUGGGAACGUACCUUUUGGUUCGGAACAACUCCGGGAAACUGGAGCUAAUACCGGAUAAGCCCUAACGGGGAAAGAUUUAUCGCCGAAAGAUCGGCCCGCGUCUGAUUAGCUAGUUGGUGAGGUAACGGCUCACCAAGGCGACGAUCAGUAGCUGGUCUGAGAGGAUGAUCAGCCACACUGGGACUGAGACACGGCCCAGACUCCUACGGGAGGCAGCAGUGGGGAAUAUUGGACAAUGGGCGCAAGCAUGAUCCAGCCAUGCCGCGUGAGUGAUGAAGGCCUUAGGGUUGUAAAGCUCUUUUGUCCGGGAAGAUAAUGACUGUACCGGAAGAAUAAGCCCCGGCUAACUUCGUG